CUGCUGCUGCUUCCCUUCUCUUUGCCCCUAUGCACAUAUUCCUGCCCCUCUGUGCCUCAUGCUGGUAGAAAACUAGUCCUAUGUUUAAAAGUUCUCUACAACCUCAGUCUCUUCCUCUCUAGAAGUGGUGCAGUGGUAUUUACCUAGCCUGUAUUCGUAGGAAACUGGAUGUUUGUGAGUUGCUGGCCAUGUUCCCAGACUUACGGAAGCAUCUGCCUUCCUCCUCCUGCUCUCUCUCUGGUGAGUGACCUAGGUAGAGAAAGAUGAGUCCAAGACCUUGAUGCACACCCAGCUCCCAGAACUGCUGUUGUCUGUCCCAAGCACCUGAUGAGUUACUUCCUUUCUCCCACUGUUGCUUUCUGUCUUGAUUUCUUGGCAAGCAUCUUCCCCACACAAAAAUGUUAUCCCUCCUCUUCACUGUGGAGUUCAGUCCAGGCCCUCCUACUAUGGGCUGCCAUCCCAGCUCUUAUUCCCCAGACAUGGAGCAGGAGGCAAGUUAACUCUGUGCUGCCUGGGGAGAAAUACCUCUGCAUCCCAUGGAUGACACAAAUGUGCAAUACAGUAAUGACUGCUGCCACAGACAGCAGACAUUUCGCUGGUGCCUGUCCAAGGAACUGCCAAAAUCUCUUAAAAUGAAAGCAGCUGCUGCUGAGCAAGCAGUUCUUUGAGCAGGAGGGACAGCUUGCAGAUCAGACCCUCGUUCUUGUGCAAAAUCCAGUGGUUACGAAAUUCUGGAAGUGGCUAAAAUUCUGGAAGAUGCUAUUUUUUGUUUACUUAAUCACCACAAUGGUUAGAAAAGGGCUGCUCUGGGAAGCCAGCAUGAGAUUCCUGCCCGAGAUGAAAACCAGAGAAGUACAGGAAUGACCUGGUGGAAAUUCAGAGCCUGAUUUUGAUUUCAGUCACAUAGGUCUUAAGCCACUGCAAUUUUUUGAACUUCAGUUGGGCUAUUCCACUUCAUUUCACAUGCAAAAAGUGAAUUAGGCCCCAGAAGAAUCUGCAGCUGCCUGUUACUUCAUUUUAUUGUAGUGUUGCUUCAUGUUUUAACAUCUCUUGUUUGUGGCAUUUAUAUGGUCCAGUUGCUCCCUCCCAAAGAGAAAAUCUGAUGGGAAAGGACAGAAGGGAAUAAACUUCUGCAAGAACCUACUUGUAGCUCCACUGCCAAAUCCUUUGAAAAGCAGCAUUAUUGCUGUUGAAAAAAAACCCCUGUUCGUAUAAAGCUUACUGGCAUGCUUCUUGAUAGACCUUGUAUCAGAUGCACUGUUCCUAAAGUGCCUGAGGAAUAUUUUUGGCAGAAUAGGUGUACGUUUGUUGAGAGGGUCAAAUUUACUCUACUGGUAUGCUGUUAAUCCCCAGGGCAAUCUCCUGUUACAGGAGAAUGGUAGUGAGUAGUCAUGCAAGCUCUCUCAUUCUUUGCAAGUGAUGUGCCAGUGUCCCAAGCUGGUGACAGCACUGCAUUUCUCCACUGAGACUGUCAGGUGGGGAAAGAAUCAAAAAAGGUUUCUUUUCUUGCACCUGAAAAACAGAAACUGAGAUACAACUUCAGAACACUACAUAUACUAUAGGCAAUUAGGCACCAAGAAAGGGCAGGAAAUAGCUAAAGCAAAAUAUCAGAUCCAAAAAUAGAUAAAAAUUUAGCUUUAGAUAGAUUUAUUCUGGAAGUUAGGAGAAGGGCUUUCCAAGGCUUUGGAAAAUUUUUCUAAUAGUAGCUGUCAGAGCAACAAACAAAAAGAAAACUGAUUUAAAAGUAGAGCUUUUUAUACAUAAAAAGAAAUCUCUGAGAUGACCUGAAAUAACACAAGUCAGAACUCAGUGAUCCAAUAGAUUAUAUGUCCAUAUUGCCAAGUAAAUUUGCCAGUCAACACCAGCUGCUGACGUUGGACAUCAGGCUUGAUAUGUCAUGAGUGAAUCAAGUUAGAGCUCUUUCUACUGAGACUGAAAUCACUAAUGUGUUUCAUUUAGUCCAGCAAAAGCCAUCCAGCUGCUCUGGCUUGUAUAUUACCUUCAGCCUGUAUAUGACUAAUACAGGAUGAAUUCAUAAAAUCAAUUCCUGAUGAAAGCUCCAUAUCUUAUUAUCAAUCUCCUUUUUCAUAUGAACCUCAUGAAAAUACUGAUGUGAGCCCAUGAUGCUGUAUGAGCAGCAAUAUGUUACGUUCUAUACAAAAAUAUGCAUGAGCAUGCAGGUGUUUGCAAUGUAAACACCAAUCCAAACAAAAGGUUGUUGUGAUUUUGUGUACUGAGGUGCAGUUCAAAACAAGGGGCUCACUGACUGUGGGCAUUUGAGGUUGCAGUUCGGUAGUGUCUGUACCUAUUGUAACAUGUUUUGUUUUGCACAUCCUUUCUUCAGACUUCCAAUUUGGAGUACAGUUUGAGAACACAGCAUGAUGGUUAUUAUGAGUGAGUCCAGGAAGGCAGUGAAUGCACGUAGACAGGUACUUCCUCUGGUUACAGAAGACCCAAACAGGGAUCUUCCAAACAAGGGUCAAAUUAACAUUUUCAAAUGGAAAUGCAUCUAUCCAUUCUGAGCUUACAGUGGUUUAGGUGGCGAGUAGGGUGUCUGUAGGCAGCUUGUGGUGUCACUCUUAUCUUUCUGUCUGCAUUGGUUGGAACUGGGGUGUUCAUGAGGCAACUGAAAAGGAGAAAUUAAAAUUUGUAGGCCAGGUGGUGACUGAAGAGACAUACCUUGUGGGCUAAACUUGACUUGUUUGUUUAGAUUUAACUGCGAGAGGGUUCUUUGCAGUCCAAACAGUAAAUAGGAAAACAACCUGAGAAAGAAAUCUCAUAGGAAGAAAAAGCUGAUUAAGAAAUUCUUAUCAAUCAAAACAAUCUUCUACAGCAUGAAAGUUAAGAGUUCCUAACUUUAUUUCUUUUUUCCCUGUUUCUGCUCUGAACAAAAUUUUUGUGUGUUUGAAUGAGUUUCAGUCUGAGUUUGGGAAUGCGACCUCUCCUUUUCCCACUGCCAGUCUAAACAGUCCUGAAAUGAGAAGGAUGUUUGAAAUAAACUCCAAAUCCCAUUUUGGGUCUGUGUUCUUUAUGAGGACUAAUUAACUCUUAAAGAAGACUGUAGCUUUGCGAAGUUUUGGACACACAAAUUAUAAUUAUUGCUGUUAUGAUGCCUGUAUUUUUCUUUUUCAGGACAAAUACUUGCUUAAUAUUUAUUCCAAUUUCCAUGUACAUCAGUGGUAAUACUGGCUGUUUAUGGACUUCACAAUGUGCCUCCAACACAGAUAUAAUCUGAAUUUGUUCAAAACUAAAAAUAAAUGAGAAGUCUGUAUGUUUUGUAGGUUUUUGAAUAUUUACUAAUUAAAUGCACUACUUGA